CCGACGUGGACAUCCAGUGAGCUGCUCUCUGGCUCUGUCCUGGUGGUGUUUGGGAGCGUAGCUCCGAGCCGAGACGUACAGUCCCGUUCCACGCCGUCGGACAGAAAGCUUCGUCCCCGGCUCCUAGCUGGUGAGGAUGAGUAUCCUGCAUAUUCCUACCUCUUCCCAGAGUCCUUUGGGGCUGUUACUGGGGAGCUUAACCAUGCAGGACACAGUA